rnacentral:rRNA from 1 species
CCUACGGGUGGCUGCAGUCGAGAAUCUUCCGCAAUGGGCGAAAGCCUGACGGAGCGACGCCGCGUGGAGGACGAAGGCCUUCGGGUUGUAAACUCCUGUCACGAGUUAAGCGUAAGCUCGAGAGGAAGCACUGGCUAACUCUGUGCCAGCAGCCGCGGUAAUACAGAGAGUGCGAACGUUGUUCGGAAUUACUGGGCUUAAAGCGCACGUAGGCGGCAUCGUAAGUGUCCGGUGAAAUCCCACGGCUCACCCGUGGAACUGCCUGGCAGACUGCGAUGCUCGAGUGUGGUAGGGGAGAGCGGAACUCCUGGUGGAGCGGUGAAAUGCGUAGAUAUCAGGAGGAACACCGGUGGCGAAGGCGGCUCUCUGGUCACACUGACGCUGAGGUGCGAAAGCUAGGGGAGCAAACGGGAUUAGAUACCCUAGUAGUC